rnacentral:rRNA from 1 species
CGGCAGCGCGGGGCAACCUGGCGGCGAGCGGCGAACGGGUGAGUAAUGCAUCGGAACAUGUCCAUUCGUGGGGGAUAGCCCGGCGAAAGCCGGAUUAAUACCGCAUACGCCCGAGAGGGGAAAGUGGGGGACCGCAAGGCCUCACGCGAUUGGGUUGGCCGAUGUCCGAUUAGCUAGUUGGUGGGGUAAAGGCCUACCAAGGCGAUGAUCGGUAGCUGGUCUGAGAGGAUGAUCGGCCACACUGGGACUGAGACACGGCCCAGACUCCUACGGGAGGCAGCAGUGGGGAAUUUUGGACAAUGGGGGCAACCCUGAUCCAGCCAUUCCGCGUGAGUGAAGAAGGCCUUCGGGUUGUAAAGCUCUUUUGUCCGGAACGAAACGGGUGCGGCUAAUACUCGCGCCUACUGACGGUACCGGAAGAAUAAGCACCGGCUAACUACGUGCCAGCAGCCGCGGUAAUACGUAGGGUGCGAGCGUUAAUCGGAAUUACUGGGCGUAAAGCGUGCGCAGGCGGUUUUGUAAGCCAGAUGUGAAAUCCCCGGGCUUAACCUGGGAAUGGCAUUUGGGACUGCAAGGCUGGAGUGCGGCAGAGGAGACUGGAAUUCCUGGUGUAGCAGUGAAAUGCGUAGAUAUCAGGAGG